rnacentral:lncRNA from 1 species
CGAGCAUCGGUUCACAUCUGUGUCGCAUCCCCAAACCAACGGUGAGGCCGAGGUCACAAAUCGGACAAUCCUCCAAGGAAUUAAGGCGCGAAUCGGUCGGACGGGGCAAGCUUGGGUCGAAGAACUCGAGAAUGUCCUUUGGGCGUAUCGGACCACGCAUCGGACCCCUACCGGGGAGACGCCUUUCAGCCUAACCUAUGGCACGGAAGCGG